GGGCCCGCACAAGCGGUGGAGCAUGUGGUUUAAUUCGAUGAUACGCGAGGAACCUUACCAGGGCUUAAAUGUAGUGGGACAGGUCUAGAGAUAGACCCUUCUUCGGACUCAUUACAAGGUGCUGCAUGGUUGUCGUCAGCUCGUGCCGUGAGGUGUCAGGUUAAGUCCUAUAACGAGCGCAACCCCUAUCUUUAGUUGCCAGCGGAUAAUGCCGGGGACUCUAAAGAAACUGCCAGCGCAAGCUGAGAGGAAGGCGGGGACGACGUCAAGUCAUCACGGCCCUUACGUCCUGGGCCACACACGUGCUACAAUGGUUGGUACAGAGGGCAGCCACUUCGCAAGAAGGAGCGAAUCUAUUAAAACCGGUCUCAGUUCGGAUCGGAGUCUGCAACUCGACUCUAUGAAGCUGGAAUC
rnacentral:rRNA from 1 species